CACACACACACGCGCGCGCGCGAGUAUAAUGUAUAAAAUAAUAAUAUUUGCGUGUGUGUGUGUGUGUGUGUGUGCAUGUGCGUGUGUGCGCGCGCGUGUUUCGACUGUCGGCUCGGCGUAUUAUGACGAAAUAGUUUGUGUGCGCGCGCGCGUGUGUGUGUGUCGGAUGAUUUCGGAUGUUUGAUUGAAAGGCAAACAAGGUGUAAGGCGGAUAGAAAAAAAUAAAAUACAAAAAAAAAAAAAAAUUUAAAAAAUAUCUAAUAAUAAUAAUAAAAUAAAAGCGUCCGAUACUGUAGCGGCGGCGGCGUCGAGAGGAGAAAGACACUGUGCACAGAGCCGUGUGUACAGUACUGCGGCGGCGGCGGGAGGUGUGUAUUAUAAGCGUGUAAAAAAAAAAAAAAAAAAAAAAAAAAAAGUACCGAAAUAGAGUGUCGGACCGACCGAAGCGGCGGCGGCGGUGGCCUGUAAUUAUAUUGUAAAGUGCCAAGAGCCGGCGUUUCCCUUUGUAACCAGAAUACCAAAGCACAAGCAAUAACACGAUGAUAGUGCACAAAUUCGCCGACAACAAAAUGGACGGAAACUCGCGCGCUCGGCACUCUUCACCCGCCGCAGCAGCGAUCGCGCGCCCGUUCCUUUACACGUAUACAGGGCGAUUAUUUUAUCCGCGACCCGCGUUACCGUUAUUAACGGAGGAUCGACUCGUGUGCGAUACGUUUCCGCUAAACCGUCGUCAUUUAUGCGCGCCUAGUCCGCGGUGUACAUUUUCGAAAACCGCGGUAACGUAUUAGUAUUAAUUAUAACGCGCAAACGAUAAAUCCGAAAUUAUCGUGUUAUCGAAAAUAUUUUAGAAAGAAAAAAAAAACGACGAAUUUUUUUAACGAAUUCCUGUUGAAAAUCAAAAGUCUACACUUGCUGUUUAUGAGCUACAAGGAUAAACAUUUGAAACCAGGAAUGAAUCCAAGGGGGAGGGCCUAGAGGCCCAGGCCCUCACCAGACAUAUUAUUUCGUCGAUUUUAUUUUAUUUUUUUUAUAAUUCUUUAAACCCUGAUAUUGCUGUAUUCCAAUCGCUG